UACGUAGGGGCCUAGCGUUGUCCGGAAUUAUUGGGCGUAAAGAGCUCGUAGGCGGUUCGGCAAGUCGGAUGUGAAAUCUCCACGCUUAACGUGGAGGGGCCAUUCGAAACUGCUGUGACUCGAGUCCGGUAGGGGAGUGUGGAAUUCCCGGUGUAGCGGUGAAAUGCGCAGAUAUCGGGAGGAACACCUGUGGCGAAAGCGGCUCACUGGACCACAACUGACGCUGAGGCGCGAAAGCUAGGGGAGCAAACAGG
rnacentral:rRNA from 1 species